rnacentral:rRNA from 1 species
GACGAACGCUGGCGGCGUGCUUAACACAUGCAAGUCGAACGGAAAGGCCCUGCUUUUGUGGGGUGCUCGAGUGGCGAACGGGUGAGUAACACGUGAGUAACCUGCCCUUGACUUUGGGAUAACUUCAGGAAACUGGGGCUAAUACCGGAUAGGAGCUCCUGCUGCAUGGUGGGGGUUGGAAAGUUUCGGCGGUUGGGGAUGGACUCGCGGCUUAUCAGCUUGUUGGUGGGGUAGUGGCUUACCAAGGCUUUGACGGGUAGCCGGCCUGAGAGGGUGACCGGCGAAGUGGGGACGGAGAUACGACACAGACUAGAACGGGAGGCAGAGGAGGAGAGUGGUGUACAGGGGACGGGAGCCUGAUGCAACAACGCCGCGUGGGGGAAGAGAGGAAUGGGGUAGGGAAGCGAAGGCGCCUGAGACGAGGCGUGAAUGACGGUAAUGGGAGAAGAAGCACCGGCUAACUACGUG